rnacentral:rRNA from 1 species
AGGACGAACGCUGGCGGCGUGGCCUAACACAUGCAAGUCGAGCGGGUGGUUCUGAAGGGCAACCGGAGGGAUCACCUAGCGGCGAACGGGUGAGUAACGCGUUGGAUAACCUACCUCAAGGUCUGGGAUAACAGCUCGAAAGGGCUGCUAAUACCGGAUGUGGUGCAUAUGCUGCAUGGUAGAUGCACUAAAGGGGAAACCCGCCAUGAGAUGGGUCCGCGUCCCAUCAGCUAGUUGGUGGGGUAAAGGCCUACCAAGGCGACGACGGGUAGCCGGCCUGAGAGGGUGACCGGCCACACUGGGACUGAGACACGGCCCAGACUCCUACGGGGGGCAGCAGUGGGGAAUAUUGCACAAUGGGCGAAAGCCUGAUGCAGCGACGCCGCGUGGGCGAAGAAGGCCUUCGGGUUGUAAAGCCCUGUCUGGAGGGACGAAGUAAUGACGGUACCUCCGGAGGAAGCCACGGCUAACUACGUG